GACGAACGCUGGCGGCGUGCCUAAUACAUGCAAGUUGAGCGCUGAAGGUUGGUACUUGUACCGACUGGAUGAGCAGCGAACGGGUGAGUAACGCGUGGGGAAUCUGCCUUUGAGCGGGGGACAACAUUUGGAAACGAAUGCUAAUACCGCAUAAAAACUUUAAACACAAGUUUUAAGUUUGAAAGAUGCAAUUGCAUCACUCAAAGAUGAUCCCGCGUUGUAUUAGCUAGUUGGUGAGGUAAAGGCUCACCAAGGCGAUGAUACAUAGCCGACCUGAGAGGGUGAGCGGCCACAUUGGGACUGAGACACGGCCCAAACUCCUACGGGAGGCAGCAGUAGGGAAUCUUCGGCAAUGGACGAAAGUCUGACCGAGCAACGCCGCGUGAGUGAAGAAGGGUUUCGGAUCGUAAAACUCUGUUGGUAGAGAAGAACGUUGGUGAGAGUGGAAAGCUCAUCAAGUGACGGUAACUACCCAGAAAGGGACGGCUAACUACGUG
rnacentral:rRNA from 1 species